rnacentral:lncRNA from 1 species
GGGGGAAGCUAGAGGCAGAGGGGGAGCGGAUUCUGCUACCUACGAGGGGGAGUUCUUUGGAGUAUUUUUCCUGAGCUUAGGAAGGAAAGUUUAGAUGAGGUAGUUGGAGAUAGAACCAGUAGGGUUGGCUUGAAGAAAGAAGCAAGGAGCAGAGGAAAAAGACUGAGAGCACAGAGAGAAAACAGAGAAAAUCAGAGUAUGAGAGAGAGAAGCCUGUGAAGAACCAGAGAAAGAGCAGAGAGAAGAAGGGUAGUAGAGACGUGGGUGAGAGGAGAGAGGAUACUGCGGUCUGCACUUCCAUGGAGGUAAGUGUUGGUCUGAGAUAAAAUCAUAUAUUUUUUUAUUCUAUAUCAAUUCAUUAGAGCACAGGUGUAUAUAUAGACAAAAGAAAAGGCUAUACAUGGACUACAUGGAUUACGACUACAAUUGCUGAGGGAUUGCAGUGACUGAUUGCAGUGAUUGAUUUUUCUCCUUUAAUGGUUCAGAGAACAGCUCACGCCAACACUCCCCCUCAAGUUGGUACGUAAAUAUCAAUAAGUCCCAACUUGUCUAGUGAGUGAUGGAAUAUUUUACUGCUCACAGCUUUUGUAAGAAUAUCGGCCAGUUGGUCUUCGGAUUUCACAAAAGGGAAUUGGAUAAUCUUUGCAUCAAGAUUUUGUUUAAUAAAGUGUCGAUCUACUUCUACGUGCUUAGUCCGAUCAUGCUGAAUGGGAUUAUGGGAGAUGUCAAUUGCUACUUUAUUAUCACAAAACAACAUCAUCUCGGAGUCAGGGGCAAAACCAAUCUCCGUUAGAAGUCUCCUAAGCCACAAUAACUCACAUAGCCCUUUAGCCAUUCCACGAAACUUAGCUUCUGCACUGGAUAGAGCGACCACCUUCUGUUUUUUGCUUCUCCAAGUAACCAAGUUUCCUCCAACAAAAGUGAAGUAGCCUGAGGUGGAUUUCCUAUCCAUGAUGUUCCCUGCCCAAUCUGCGUCUGUAUAUCCUUCUACUCUUAGGUGAUCAUUUUUGGAGAACAUAAGUCCCUUUCCAGGGGAGGACUUCAAAUAUCUCAAAAUCUGCAUAACGGCACUCAUAUGAUCUUCACUUGGACAAUGCAAAAACUGACUUACCACACUUACUGCAUAAGCAAUAUCCGACCGUGUGUGAGAAAGAUAAAUAAGCUUGCCUACCAGUCUUUAAUACUGAAGAAUUUGAAGACUAAAAUAUGAAGAAUUUGAAGACAAACUAUGGAGGAACACCUCAAUUCAUUCUGUGAUACCUUCCUUUACAAUGAAUGAAAGCAUAAAUAAAUAGCCUACAGAUAUGAGACAAUUCCGGAAUGGUACACUAUCACCGGAUGGAAUUUCCCUUACAUGGAAAGUGAAUAAACUCUUACAUGGGAAGUGAAUAAACUACUCUUACAUGGAAAGUGAAUAAACUACCUUGCUAGAAUUACUCCUAAAUCAAUUAUAAUAAAGGUUGUACAUUACACUAAUUCAGGGAAGUAUAAACAGAGGAUGCUAAAUAUGGUGAGGAACAUGCACAGGCAGGAAGGCGACGUGGGCUUGAUUUCCAACACUCCCCCUCAAGCCGCGUUGUAGAUGUUGAUCAUUCCAAGUUUUUCUGUCAGAUCUUUGAAGUUAACUCGAGUAAGAGCUUUUGUGAGAAUGUCAGCCGUUUGACAGUUUGUCGGAGUGUAGCUGACUUUGAAAACUCCUUCUUCAAUCUUUUCCUUGAUAAAGUGUCGAUCUAUCUCCACGUGCUUAGUUCGAUCAUGAUGAACCAGAUUCUUAGCGAUACUGAUGGCAGCUUGAUUGUUGCAGUAUAACACCAUGGGAUGCUUCAAUGGAACCCGUAAUUCUUCUAACAACCUAUUCAACCAGAUUCCCUCGCAGAUACCUUGUGCCAUAGCACGAAAUUCUGCCUCAGCACUACUACGGGCUACCAUUGACUGUUUCUUGCUUCGCCAUGUAACCAAGUUCCCCCAGACAAAUGAACAAUAGCCUAAAGUUGAUCUCCGAUCAGUCACUGAACCUGCCCAAUCUGCAUCUAAAAAAAUCUCAAUCUUUUUCUUUGUUGUUCUUUGAAAGAAGAGACCCUUUCCUGGUGUCAUCUUGAGGUAUCUCAAUAUUCUGAUCACAACAGUCAUGUGUUUUUCGGUUGGAUUAUUCAUGAAUUGACUUACCACACUAACGGAGAAGCCGAUGUCUGGCCUUGUAUGAGAAAGAUAGAUAAGUUUCCCCACAAGACGUUGAUAUCUUCCUUUAUCAACUGGCGCACUUCCAUCACUUUCUUCCAGUUUGACAGUUGUAUCCAUAGGUGUUUCUGCCGGCUUGCAUCCUAGCAUUCCUGUUUCAUUCAAUAAGUCCAGAACGUAUUUGCGUUGUAAGACUGCUAUACCUUUCUUUGACCUAGCAAUCUCCAUUCUGAGAAAGUACUUGAGGUUUCCAAGAUCCUUGAUCUCAAAUUCCUUUGUCAGUAAUUUUUUAAGUAAGUCAAUUUUCUCUUCAUGAUCACCUGUCAAAAUUAUGUCGUCCACAUAUACAAUGAUAAUUGUCAGUUUCCCUUCUGGGAAGUGUUUCACAAAUAAUGUGUGAUUGGAUUGACAUUGAACGAAUCCGUACCCUUUCACUACCUUAGUGAACCGUUCAAACCAGGCCCUAGGAGAUUGUUUGAGACCAUACAAGAAUUUUCGGAGUCUGCAAACCUUGUUGAAAUUUGAUGUCGUCUCAAGUCCAGCAGGAAUGUCCAUGUAAACUUCUUCCUCUAAGUCACCAUUGAGGAAGGCAUUCUUCACAUCAAGUUGGUGAAGCGACCAAUCGAGAUUAGCUGCCAAGGAUAAAAGUACACGAACAGUAUUGAGCUUGGCAACUGGAGUAAAAGUUUCUUGAUAGUCAAUGCCAUAGGAUUGGGUGAAUCCUUUGGCGACCAACCGAGCCUUAUACCUGUCCACAUUACCAUCUGCCUUGUAAUUUACUAUGAAAAUCCACUUACACCCAACUGGUUUCUUACCUCUUGGGAGGUCAGUAAUUUCCCAUGUACCAUUAUUUUCCAACGCCCGAACUUCCUCAUCGACUGCCGCCUUCCACUUAGGAUACUUGAAAGCUUCCUGAAUAUUCUGAGGAACUUGUAUCUCUGUGAUGCUAGAAGUGAAUGCACGAAACGUAGGUGAUAGCUUAUCAUAAGAAAUAAAAUUUCCAAUGGGAUGCUGAGUGCAUGAUCUAACUCCUUUCCUCCAAGCUAUGGGCAUAUUAAGAAUAUCAUUUUCUAACUCGGAAUCAACAGUACCAUCAGGAGCGUUGUUACCUGGAAGUUUGCUUGGAUUAGGACCCGGUUCUGCCUCAUGGGUUUGUUGAGAAAGUGCUCCUUUCUCCGUUUCCUCUUGGAUGUGCUCCUUAUCCCACAAGUCAACAAUGGACUCGGGCUGAUUAAAUGACUCUAGAGGAAUGUGAUUUCCUGUGGUGAUGGGUGACUCAAUGAAUGACUCAAGAUCCCAAAAUUGAUAUUCCUGAGUUGAAUUCUCCCCCUGAAUAUCGUUUUUGGGAUAGUGAGGCUGGGUUUCAAAAAAGGUGACAUCCAUUGAAUUGUAGAAUUUUCUUGUGACCGGAGAGUAACACUUAUACCCUUUUUGAUUUGAAGAAUACCCAAGAAAGAUGCACUUGAGUGACCUAGGAUCAAGUUUACUUCUAUGUUGUUGAUUGAUAUGAACAAAGACAGAGCACCCGAAAAUUUUGGGUGGGACGGUGGAGAUGAGACGAGUAGUCGGAAAGGAUUUUAGGAGUGUUUGACAAGGUGUUUGGAAUUUCAGUACCCUAGACGGCAUCCUAUUGAUGAGGUAGGCUGCCGUAAGGACAGCUUACCCCCAGAAUAAUUUUGGAACAUUCAUGGAGAACAUUAGUGAUCUAGCCACCUCUAACAAAUGCCUAUUUUUUCUUUCAGCGAUUCCGUUUUGUUGUGGGGUAUCAACACAUGAACUUAAGUGAACUAUCCCUUCUUGUGCUAGAAAUUCUCCUAGAAUGGAGUUGAAAUAAUCCCUAGCAUUAUCAGACUUUAGAAUUUGUAUUUUUGACUGGAAUUGGGUCUGAAUCAUAUUUUUAAAAUUUUUGAAAAUUUGACUCAUUUCAGAUUUUUCUUUCAUGAGGAAUACCCAAGUUAAUCUAGUGUGAUCAUCUAUGAAUGAGACAAACCACCUAGUACCAGUUACAUUUUUUAUUCUUGACGGACCCCAGAUAUCGCUAUAAAUCAUUGAGAAUGGACUAGACUCUUUAUAGGGUUGAAUGGGAAAAUGAGACCGGACUUGCUUUGAUAAUUGACAGAUUUCACACUCAAAGGAUUUUGGAUUUUUAUUAAAUAAUGAAGGAAAUAAAUGCUUGAGAUACAUAACAUUUGGAUGACCUAAGCGAUAGUGCCACAACCUAAUUGCACUAUCGUUAUUUUGACAUGAAACCGAAAAAGAAUUACUACCAACUGCCAUUUGAGGUUGUUCUUGUGGAUCGUGGCGCUCCUUAAGGAUGUAGAGUCCAGAGCAUUCCUCAGCAUUGCCAAUCGUCUUCCUCGAAUCCAAAUCCUAAAAUUCACAGUGAGUGGAGGAAAAAUUAGUAAUACACCUCUUUUCCUUAGUGAGUUUACUAAUUGACAAUAGAUUACAGUCCAAGUUAGGAACAAGGAGAACAGAGUUGAGAGUAAGAUCCCUUGAUAGCACAACUGAACCUGUUCCGACAACCUUUGAUAGUGAACCAUCUGCUAUUCGGACUGUUAAAUUAUUUGGACAUGAGCUAUAUGUAUCAAAAAUUGUCGCAUCUCCCGUCAUAUGAUCAGAUGCUCCUGAGUCCACUGUCCAAGGUUUUUUACGUUUCUUACCAGCAGUGAAGACACUAAAAAAAUUACCUUUGUGAGCCAAGGUUCCGAAACCAAUGACCUGGUUGGAAGAUGAGCCAGUUUGUGACUGUACCGACAAAAGAGGAGACAGUAGUUUCUGAAGCAUCUCCAUUUGCUCCUUAUUAAAAGGGCUAGCUUCAGGUUGUGGCGAUUGUUCAUCGGUAGCCACAUGAUUGCCUCGUCCUUCUUUCUCAAGUGGUUGACGUGGCUUCCAAUCUACUGGCUUUCCAUGAAUCUUCUAGCAAGUUUCUCUUGAGUGUCCUGGCUUUCUGCAAUGAUUACACCAAGGUCUACCUCCUUUAAUUUUUUGACGGUUGUCAAAAGGAGCGAAUUGAGUCUUAAGAGCCGAGCUUUCUGCCAUAUUCAAUUGUUGAUGGGAUCCCAUCAUGAGAUUUUUCCGACUUUCUUCGCGACGGACUUCAGAGAAUGCCUCUCUGAGGCUAGGUAGGGGUUUUACUCCCAUGAUUCUUCCUCUGAUUUCAUCAAGAUUUUUGUUCAAACCUAACAAAAAUUUAAACACUCGUUUCCCUUCGACAAUCUUUUUAUACAAAAAACCAUCUGUAACACAAUUCCAGUUAUGAACCUCAAACAUAUCAAGUUGACGCCAUAGACGAGUAAGAGUAUUGAAAUAUUCAGUUACCGUAAGGUUUCCUUGACGCAAAUCGUGGAGGAUGCCUUCAAUCUGGAUGAUUUCAGAUGUGUUUUCCUUGUCUGAGAAAGUUUCUUUUGCAAUGUCCCAGAUUUCUUUGGCAGUAUCAAAUGACAAAAAAUUUUCACCAAUGUCAGCGGUCAUAGAGUUGACUAGCCAGGACAUGACCAUAUUAUUUUCUGCUAUCCACUUUUUGUAGGUUGAUGCUGUGGUUUCUGGUGCCGCCGAAGCUCCAGUGAUGUAGUCAUCUUUCUCCUUUCCCCGUAUAAACAUUAAUAUGGACUGAGACCAUUGCAAAUAAUUUUGCCCAUUCAGUUUAUGGGCUAUGAUUGGAAGAUGAGAGGUUUCCAUCUGAUGAGAGGAUGAAGACGAUGAGAUGAUGAUAUCAGAGGUAGAGGAUGAUGAGUUGGUAGCCAUUCCAAAGGCUGGACCGUAUUUAGGCAUAAAUUAGAAGAAUAGAAUUGAGUAGAAAAAAAAAACUGACUAAAGAUGAUGACGAUGAGACAUGAUUAAACCUGCUCUGAUACCAUGAAGAAUUUGAAGACUAAAAUAUGAAGAAUUUGAAGGCAAACUAUGGAGGAACACCUCAAUUCAUUAUGUGAUACCUUCCUUUACAAUGAAUGAAAGCAUAAAUAAAUAGCCUACAGAUAUGAGACAAUUCCGGAAUGGUACACUAUCACCGGAGGGAAUUUCCCUUACAUGGAAAGUGAAUAAACUCUUACAUGGGAAGUGAAUAAACUACUCUUACAUGGAAAGUGAAUAAACUACCUUGCUAGAAUUACUCCUAAAUCAAUUAUAAUAAAGGCUGUACAUUACACUAAUUCAGGGAAGUAAACAGAGGAUGCUAAAUAUGGUGAGGAACAUGCACAGGCAGGAAGGCGACGUGGGCUUGAUUUCCAACAAAUACCUUCCUUUGUCUGUUGGUCCUUGAUUGGGAUAUUCUCCAAGUUUGUGAUUCGGAAUUAUUGGAGUUUCUGUAGGCUUAUAAUCAAGUAAUCCAACCUCUGUUAAUAGGUCUAAAAUAUAUUUUCUCUGAGACAGGAAUAUACCUCGCUUUGAUCUAGCAACUUCAAUUCCUAGAAAGUAUUUUAGUCCUCCUAGGUUCUUCAUUUCAAACUCAGAUGCCAACUGCUCUUGAAGUCUCGCUAUCUCCUCUGAAUCGUCUCCUGUGAUGAUCAUAUCGUCUAUAUAGACUAUCAGAGCAGUCAGUUUGCCCUGUCUAUGCUUUAGGAACAAAGUGUGAUCAGAGUUACUUUGCUGGAAUCCAUACUUUUUCAUUGUCGUACUGAAUCUCCCAAACCAAGCUCGAGGUGAUUGUUUUAACCCGUAUAGAGUUCUUGGUAAUUUGAAAACAAUGUUGCCUUCUGUGUUGGCUACAUAUCUUGAGGGAAUGUCCAUAUAUAUAUCUUCUUCUAGAUCACCAUGUAAAAACGCAUUCUUUACAUCAAACUGAUGCAGGGGCCAAUCCAGAUUUGCUGCAAGUGACAACAAUACUCUUACUGUAUUUAGUUUGGCAACGGGUGAGAAGGUUUCCUGAUAGUCAACUUCGUAUGUCUGCGUGAAUCCCUUUGCUACAAGUCUCGCCUUGUAACGCUCAAUUGUUCCAUCUACCUUGUAUUUGAUUAUAACACCCACUUGCACCCCACUAUUUUUUGUCCUUUAGGUAGAUUGACAAGAAUCCAGGUCUUAUUUUUCAAUAGUGCCUCCAUCUCCUCCUUCAUAGCCUGGACCCACCUCGGGUCUUUCAUUGCUUCUUCAACACUUGUAGGAACAUGACACGAGGAGAGUGCAUCUGCGAAAGUCUUUAGAGGUUCAGGAAGUGUCUUUGUGGAUACAUAGUUGGCAAUCGGGUAUUUCAACCUCCGGUCUUCUAUGUUAGGAGAGUAUCUAUCUGGUGGCUUGCCUCGAUUAUGCCUGUAUGGUAACUCAUAGCCCACAUGAGCAUCAUUAGUUAACAUAGGUGUACUCAGAGUGUUUAGGGAACUUACCUCAGGAAUAUUCUCAGGAGAUGGGUCUUUGGAUACUGUGGAAGGAGGGGGUACUAUCGACUGCUGUGGCUGUUGCUCUUCAAUUACUAAUGGUAGAACACCAGGUUCUGUGUCAACAUCAGGUUCUGUAUUGGAUACAGAAACAACAGGCUCAACAUCAAGUUCUGUAUUGGAUACAAAAACAACAGGCUCAACAUCAAGUUCUGUAUUGGAUACAGAAACAACAGGCUCCCAAUCAAACCUCAGCCAAUUCAACUCUUUAUUUUGAGGCGCCCCCUGAAGAGUAGAAGUGGAUGUGGUCGGAGAGUAGAAAGUCUCUGAUUCCAAGAAGGUGACAUCCAUCAUCACAUAGGUGCGAUGAUUAGAUGGAUCAUAACAGCGAUAUCCCUUUUGAUGUAGGCCAUACCCCAAAAAAAGACACCGGACUGCGCAUGGAUCAAGUUUAGUGCGUUGAUUCUUGUGUAAAUGAACGAAGGCAACACAGCCAAAUACUCGAGGCGGAAGCAUUAAGGCAGUAGGUAGAGAGAUGACAGUGGAUAGGGCCUGGAGAGGAGUCUUGAACUUAAGAACCCUAGAAGGCAUCCGAUUAAUAAGGUGAACUGUUGUAGUGACAACAUCAGUCCAAAAAUGAUUAGGUACAUGAGCACCAAGAAGAAUAGCCCGAGCAGUCUCUAAAAUAUGCCGAUUUUUCCUUUCGGCAAUUCCGUUUUGUUGUGGUGUUUGAGGACAGGUAGUUUCAUGAAUCAAGCCAUGGUGACUGAAAUAAUUUUUGAAGUCACGAUGCAUAUACUCUCCACCAUUGUCGGAUCGAAGUAUGCGAAUUGUAGCAGAAUACUAAGUUUUAACCAUCUCAUGAAAUGAGCAAAAAACAGAGAAAACUUCAUCCUUAUUCUUCAUUAGAUACAACCAAGUCAUACAAGUGCAAUCAUCCACAAAAAUCACAAACCAUCGAACCCCAGAUAUAGUGGAUUUGGGAGAUGGACCCCACACAUAAGAGUGAAUCAAUUCAAAAGGCAUCUGACUCUUAUUAAAACUCAAAGGAUAACUAACACGAUGACUUUUAGCUAAGAUGCAUGUCUCGCAUUUAAAAUCCAAAUUCGACAAACCCGAAAAUAAAGCAGGAAAUACAAGUUUCAAAUAUCCAAAUGAAGGAUGUCCUAACCGACUAUGCCACAACAAAAUGUUCGCCUUAUUUCGAUCACUAGAGCUUCUCGUAUGGUUAGCUUGACCGAUGCUAAAAUCUUCCAUAUAGUAGAGCCCUCCCUUUUUAGUACCACACCCAAUUAUCUCCUUGGUGAGAAUAUCCUGAAGAAGACAAAAAAUUGGAUAAAUUAGAACAAUACAAUUUAACUCCUUCGUGACUUGGCUCACUGAUAAUAAUUUAUGAGACAAUGAGGGUACAAAAAGGGUAUUGGUUAAGGAGAGAGCUGGUGAUAUCAUCACUGUACCAGCCCCUUUUACCAAAGAGAUGUCCCCAUUAGCAUUAGCAAUGCUAGUAUGUCGAGGAGAGGAUCGUUCAGAAAAAUCACUUGCAUCAUACGUCAUGUGGUCUGUCGCCCCUGAAUCAAGAAUCCAACCAUCAUAUGAUUCAGUGGUAUUGGUCCCGAGAAAACUCAUACCUGUAUCCAAAUCAACUGUUGUUGUCGGAAUAGUGACAAUUGGGACUCAGCCGAGGCUAUCGCGGCCUUGCCGGUGCCAUUAGUUGCAUUUUUGCUAGCUCCACCAUCUUUCCCAUUCCCAUCUCGUCGCCUCUUGGCUUGUAAUUCAUGCCACCAAUCUGGGUAGCCAUGUAGUUUGAAGCAUGUGUCUUGAGUAUGCUUUGAAUUUCCACAAUGACAGCAUUUCAUGUCAUUGGAUGGGCCAUUUGACUUAGAAAAUUUUCCAUUCAAUGACAGAGAGUUGGCUGCAGUGGAGGGCCCUUGUUUGAGGCUUCGUGAAGCCAUCACUGCUCCAGCUGCCUUUUCUCCAUUAUUGGCUGUCAUCACCGCCUGACGCACAGUUUCUCUACGAACAUGGGCAUAUGUCUGUUCCACUGUGGGAAAUGGCUUAAGCUGCAACACAUCACUUCUAAUAUUAUCAAGUUUAUCAUCCAAACCAUCAAGAAAAGUAUAUACCUGAUCCUCCUGCAGCAUAUUGUUAAAAUGUUGGAUAUCUGCUGGACAUUGCAUUGGAUUGGGACGACGGAAAUCAAUCUCCCGCCAUAGACCUUGGAGAUGAUUGUAGUAUUUUUCUAGAGAGCCACUACCCUGCCUGAGUCGCGCCACUCGUAGUCGGAGUUCAUAAACUUGGGUUGCAUCACUUUCAUCAAAGUAAGUGGUUGCAAUUGCAUCCCAAACUUGCUUUGCCGUUGGAAACCGAAUGAAGUUACCAAUAAGGGAUGGAUCCAUCGAACCAAUCAACCAUCCUUUCACAGUUGCAUUCUCAGUCCGCCACCUACGGAAGGAAGGGUCGGUUGUUAAUGGUUGAGGAAGGUCGCCGUUGAUGUAGCCGAGUUUAUCCUUGCCCGCGACAUACAUCUCUACGACUUGUGACCAGAGGGCGUAAUUCGUGCCAUCCAGUUUGAUGCCAAUCGGGGCAAUUGCUGAGUCGGUGGCUGGAAUGGACGUCGGAGCUUUACUCAAAGAUUUUGUCAUCCUUGCCGUUAGUUCAGACAGUACAGAUGGCGAGAUUGAAGAUUCACCCGAGUGCUCACCCGAGUGAGGAUCUGUAUCUGCCAUGUGAAAAGAGUUUGACCUUUGUUUUUAAGAAAUUUGGUUGAAUAGAGGGUAGAGGAUCGAAUUCUGCUCUGAUACCAUGUUGGUCUGAGAAAAUCAUAUAUUUUUUUAUUCUAUAUCAAUUCAUUAGAGUACAGGUGUAUAUAUAGAGAAAAGAAAAGGCUAUACAUGGACUACAUGGAUUACGGCUACAAUUGCUGAGGGAUUGUAGUGACUGAUUGCAGUGAUUGAUUUUUCUCCUUUAAUGGUUCAGAGAACAGCUCACGCCAACAGUAAGUUCUUAAAUGUAACACUCCUGCUCUUUUAUGGGUUUCUUUCAUUUGCUACGUCUGUAAUUCGUUAUAUGCUUGGGCAUGGCUAUCAGAGAUCCACAUGCUUGUAGUGGAUUUUGGGUAUGAAUAUCAGAAGGUCCUACAUUCCUUUUAGCUGAUCUCUUAGAUUGUUAUUUGUUUCAUCCCUCAUUUCUCCGAUUCUCUGUGUGCAUAUUCUGAUUUUGCCUCUAAUCCGUUGUGUUGCAUUGGUGAGGUUUAUGGUAUUCUCUGUUUCUCUUUUAAAAUCAAUUUGGAUUCACUCACCUAUAUUUGAGCCCGUUGAUUUUAACAUGAAACGUGGCUUAACAUAGUACUUGGUUCAUCUUAUUUUCUCCGUUUGUGUUUGGUUCACCUGGAGAAAUCUGGGUUGGAAUUUCUGGUCCAAAUCAAC